rnacentral:rRNA from 1 species
UACGUAGGGGGCUAGCGUUGUCCGGAUUUAUUGGGCGUAAAGAGCGUGUAGGCGGCUUUACAGGUCCGUUGUGAAAACUCGAGGCUCAACCUCGAGACGCCGGUGGAAACCGUAAGGCUAGAGUCCGGAAGAGGAGAAUGGAAUUCCCGGUGUAGCGGUGAAAUGCGCAGAUAUCGGGAAGAACACCCGUGGCGAAGGCGGUUCUCUGGGACGGUACUGACGCUGAGACGCGAAAGCGUGGGAGCGAACAGG